UCGGCUUCCUACGGGAGGCAGCAGCCGCGGUAAUUGGCCUACGGGAGGCAGCAGUGGGGAAUUUUCCGCAAUGGGCGAAAGCCUGACGGAGCAAUACCGCUUGAGGGAUGACGGCCUAUGGGUUGUAAACCUCUUUUUUCUGGGAGGAACCAAAUGACGUUACCUGAAGAAUAAGCAUCGGCUAACUCCGUGCCAGCAGCCGCGGUAAUA
rnacentral:rRNA from 1 species